rnacentral:rRNA from 1 species
UAGGGAAUUUUCGUCAAUGGGCGCAAGCCUGAACGAGCAAUGCCGCGUGAACGAGGAAGGUCUUCGGAUCGUAAAGUUCUGUUGAAGGGGAAAAAGAGCGGAGAGAGGAAAUGGUCUCCGAUUGAUAUUACCCUUCGAGGAAGUCACGGCUAACUACGUGCCAGCAGCCGCGGUAAUACGUAGGUGGCGAGCGUUAUCCGGAAUGAUUGGGCGUAAAGGGUGCGUAGGCGGCCUGCUAAGUCUGGAGUGAAAGGUACCGGCUCAACCGGUACAGGCUCUGGAAACUGGCGGGCUAGAGAGCAGGAGAGGGCGGUGGAACUCCAUGUGUAGCGGUAAAAUGCGUAGAUAUAUGGAAGAACACCAGUGGCGAAGGCGGCCGCCUGGCCUGUUACUGACGCUGAGGCACGAAAGCGUGGGGAGCAAAUAGG